rnacentral:lncRNA from 1 species
UCCCCAACACAAGAAAAAACAGACAAAGUGAUACACAUCUGUAUCCUAGAAAUGGGGAGGUGGAGGCAGGGGAACCAGAAGUCCUAGGCCAUCCUCUGCUACUUUGUGAGUUCAAAACCAACCUAGAAUACCUACCUGAGCUUUUGUCUCAUCACAAAUAAAUAGAAAGAAGACACGAAGGUGGGAAGGAAAUGUGUUGAGGGGUAUAGGAAAGUGAGGUUCAAAGGGGACCAAUGUAUAUGUAUGAUGUUGCCAAAGAGGCAGGGGAGAGAGCUGCUUUCUUCUGAUAUAGAACAAGCCACAGAGCUGCCAAUCAUCACAAGGCCCAUGCUAAUCUGGCCAAGGUGUUAUCUGCAGGGCCAGCAGGAUGGCUCCAUGGGUAAAAACUUUUGUCACUAAGCCUAACAGCCUGAGUUAUAUACCCAGUCUGAUGGGGUCAGAGGAAAGAACUAGAACAGGCAAGUUGUACAAUGUACCCACCCCCAUCCCUACACACAUACGCAUAUAUAAAAAAGUGUAAGUUAUUAGGACUCAAGUAAGAAUGUGUGCUGCUCUCACAGAGAUCUGGAGAUCAGCCAGCACCACAUCUGGGGCUCACAAUGUAAGCUGCCUGUAAGGUCAGCUCAAAAUGAGUCUGACACUUCUGUUUCCUCAGGCCGGGCACUUGUGUGCAAGCAUGUGUGCUGGCACGCGCUUGUGCGCGGACGCUCGCAUGCACACACACACAGACACACACACAUUUAAAAACAUUAAAAACAAAAAUUAAAAAUUAAAAUGGUCUAAGUUUCUAUGUAAAAAUCAGUUGUUAAAGGUAUUUGCAAGGUAGUUUGAUGUGUCAUUUCAGGCCUUUUUAGCCCCAGGUGAGGGUACAAAGUUUAGCUUUCUGUUGGCUCUAAGAUUCCCUGCUGCCAACUGUGGUGGUGCUGGUCGGUAGUAUUAGGUGUUCCUUCUGGAUGCAGGGGAAGGGCUUCCUCCCCUGCACAUCUGUUGGAGCAGCUGGAGAUGCAUUUGCACACUUCAAGAUGGACCAGUUAAGCCAUUCUACUCGGAGCUACGGAGCGUCUUCUCCCAGCACUCGUGCACAUGGCUUGCUUUGGUUUGGUUUUGUUGUUGUCGUUCACUGCUGAGAACCUUUGAUCUACUUCAGCAGGACCUUUUCUCUAACUUUCAUCAAACAGACUCAGCUCUUUUCCCCCUCUAGACACACAAAGAGUCUAGACCUUCUUUAGGGAAGCUAAGAAAAAAAAAAAAA